GUUACUGUGAUUAAUGUGUUAGCUUCGCUAUGUAAACUUUGGGAGUACGGUCAUUAAAUAUUUUUAUUGGGGAGUUCACUCUUUACGGCUGGGAAGUUCUGUCUUACAAUAGACAGAAGUCCACAAUACACAAGUGCCCGCCGAAAAAAAAAGAAAAAUAGUCCCAUGGAAAAUAGGAAAGAAAGGAGCACACGUUAUGUUGGGAUCCAACGAUCCAGGCUAACCAAACCAACGGCGAUCAGCGAGCCCGAUCAAUCGCCAGGGGCGUCCGAUCCCUAGUGGUUCCUGUACAAAAACUGCACUCUCUUUUUUUUUCAGAAGAAGAAAAGGCAUUUGCGGUUGCCACCCUUUCAUCUUGCGGUUGCCACCCUUUCAUGUUCCGCCUCUUCUCCUUCCGCACAUCCCAUUCCCAUCUCUCUUCUUCUUCUUCUUCUUCCCA
rnacentral:lncRNA from 1 species